GAGUUUGAUCCUGGCUCAGGACGAACGCUGGCGGCGUGCCUAAUACAUGCAAGUCGAACGAGGAGCAGGGUGCUUGCACCCUGCAGCCGAGUGGCGAACGGGUGAGUAACACGUGACCAACCUGUCCUCGAGUGGGGGACAACCUGGGGAAACCUGGGCUAAUACCGCAUACCGCCCCGCGGUCGGAUGGCUGCGGGAUGAAAGGAGGCCUCUACUUGUAAGCUUCCGCUUGAGGGGGGGGUCGCGGCGUAUCAGCUAGUUGGUGGGGUAACGGCCCACCAAGGCGACGACGCGUAGCGGGUCUGAGAGGACGAUCCGUCACAUUGGGACUGAGAUACGGGCCAGACUCCUACGGGAGGCAGCAGUGAGGAAUAUUGCGCAAUGGGCGAAAGCCUGACGCAGCAACGCCGCGUGGGGGAUGACGGCCUUCGGGUUGUAAACCCCUUUCAGCAGGGACGAAAAUGACGGUACCUGCAGAAGAAGCCCCGGCCAACUACGUGCCAGCAGCCGCGGUAACACGUAGGGGGCAAGCGUUGUCCGGAUUUAUUGGGCGUAAAGAGCUCGUAGGCGGUUGCGUAAGUCGGAUGUGAAAACUCAGGGCUCAACCCGGAGACGCCAUCCGAUACUGCGCUGACUAGAGUCCGGUAGGGGAGCAUGGAAUUCCUGGUGUAGCGGUGAAAUGCGCAGAUAUCAGGAGGAACACCAGUGGCGAAGGCGGUGCUCUGGGCCGGCUACUGACGCUCAGGAGCGAAAGCGUGGGUAGCGAACAGGAUUAGAUACCCUGGUAGUC
rnacentral:rRNA from 1 species